GAACGCUAGCGACAGGCUAACACAUGCAAGUCGAGGGGUAACAGGGUAGCAAUACCGCUGACGACCGGCGCACGGGUGAGUAACGCGUAUGCAACCUGCCUAUAACUGGGGAAUAGCUCCCUGAAAGGGGAAUUAACACCGCAUAACACUAUUGAUUCGCAUGGAUUGGUAGUUAAAUGUAGCGAUACAGGUUAUAGAUGGGCAUGCGUGACAUUAGCUAGUUGGUGAGGUAACGGCUCACCAAGGCUACGAUGUCUAGGGGUUCUGAGAGGAAGGUCCCCCACACUGGUACUGAGACACGGACCAGACUCCUACGGGAGGCAGCAGUGAGGAAUAUUGGUCAAUGGGCGCAAGCCUGAACCAGCCAUGUCGCGUGCAGGAAGACUGCCCUAUGGGUUGUAAACUGCUUUUAUAGUAGAAGAAACACAUCUACGCGUAGAUGUCUGCCAGUAUACUAUGAAUAAGCAUCGGCUAACUCCGUGCCAGCAGCGGC
rnacentral:rRNA from 1 species